UUUUGAAUGAUAAGUUUUCGAGUUAUGUACUAUAACAAACAGAAAAAUAUGUUAAACAGGUGAAAAUAAAUACUAGAUCACAGUAAUUAUGAGAGUUGAUUUUUAUCUUACAUUGGAUCCCCAAUUGGUAUUGUACUCAUAGAUACAUCCUGCUACAUUGUGUGUUAAUGCCAAAACAUCUUGGGCUUUGAUAGACUUAUCCGCAAUCCGAUAUGGCCUCAAUUCAUCAAUCUCCGGUAAAAUCAACUUAGAUGGAGGCCCAUAAAAAGCCCGUCGAUUGAAGAAACAACCAGUUCCCACAUGAGUCGGACCCAUUAGACCAUCAAACCCAACCAUAUUGAUAUUGAAGAGGCGUUUGUUUUCACAUGCAUAUAUAUCAUUUUUGCCUAUUUCUAGAAAUUUCUGAGGAAACUGCACAUAUCCUAAACCGGAUUUGAUUUCAGGAUCUGUUAAAUAGCAUAAAGCACGAACCGGUGUUGUAGGGUCGUUCGAAUACAUAUCACAGUCUAGUGUUAGAAUGAUCGGUGAAUUUGUCAUCACCCCUGAUACUCGUAGCUACAAUGAAAAGAAAACACGUUAUCUGAAAAUACUCAAAUGCUUGUUAAUCAAACUGAAAAUCGGUUAAAGUUUAGGGCUAGUUGAUUGAUACCAAAGUAUUAAGAGCACCGGCUUUGAAAUGAUGUGGUGAAACUUUACUCUUCUCUCUUGAAACAUAUAUUAGGUUUGGCAUUAUAUACUUUUUGGUAGUGUCCAUAUCUGUCUCGCUAUUUUGUAGCACCUGUCCUCAAAUUAAUUGAAAUUGAGAUUUUGUUUACUUAAAAUAAUAAUGGCACAGUACAAUUGUUAAGUAAAUAUAUUCAAAAUGCAAUUUUCAUUAUGAUAAAUAGUAGUGAGAAAAGAAUAUUUUAAGUUUUUUUUUUUCUUUAUAAUUACCUGAAUAAUUGUGGGAUGGUCAUGACGAGUGAAUUUGUCUGUCCACAAAUCGAAUACCCCACGAAAUUGAUCGCAUGUGAUAAACGAAGUUUCAACUUUUCCACUCUCCACCACAUGUUCUACUCUACUCUUCAUGUCUUUGUACAUCAUCUGUUACACCACAAAAUGAAUAUUGUUGUCUUGUAUAGUUUAUUACGUACAGUUGAUUUAUAACACUGUUUCAAAAUAUUUUUACUACUAUGUCAACCAGUUUUUCCAAAUCAUUUUGUUGUCAAACAGACUUUCCACUUUGUUUUAGAAGUUCCAACUUUAAUAUUACUGUUUAAUAUUUAACUCAUAAUUGAUGAAUAUCAAGGAACAAUAUUUCUAUUCCUUUAACAAAGAAAAAAAAAACAUAUCUAUUCCAAAAAGAAAUGCUUAAUAGUAAUUGUGGUAGGAAAUUUCAAUUCAAGUACACUUAUGUGCAAUCAUGGAUGUUUGAAAAUUCAAACAAAUAAAAAUUUAUAUCAUUUAGAUAACUAAUUAAUGCUCUUAUUUUUACCAAAAAAAAAAAAAACUAAUGCUCUUAUCAGUUUAGGAGAAAUCAUUUAGGUAACUACGACGAUUCUUAUUCUUAUCGUUUAGUGAAAAAAUCAUAUAAAUGAAUAAGGUAAUGUCACAGUCUUCCAAAGUCUUAGGUCAUAAAGGACAAAAUCGACAUUAUCGUGGACAAGAUACGAUAAGGUUCUGAAGGAGUGACCCUUUCAACACAACAAUGGCUCCCAUUAAUUUAGCAAAUAACUAUUUUUGUCAUUUUCUACUCAUUUUAUUUUUAUUGUCAUAAUGAAUUACUUCUUCCACGACAAUUUUUUUUUUUUUGGUCCCAUAUUCUUUCCUUUAUAAAAUAUGUUAAUUCUCCACAAUUCAACGUAAUUAAAAUGAAUGAUAAUUUUUACAUUCGGUAAAAGAUUACUAAUGGAAAGAGACAAUUAAGGAAAUUAUGAAGUAAGUGUUAACUGUUAACAAUCAUUGGAACGGUCACGAUGGGUCUAAGACUCGUAAGACUUAUGUUAAGUUGACCUACGUCUAAGCAUUUGUCGAAAACUCGAAAUUAGAUUAAAAACGUACUAAACCUAACAUAAUUGAUAAAUAAUAUAUACAUACCUUAAGAUUUUCAGCUUCAUCACUCUGAGAAUGUGACUUUGAUGAGAAAUAAACUUCAGGGGACCGAUCUUCAAUAUUGUUCUUCUUGCAAAAGGGCAACCAAUGCUUAGAGAACUUAGCAGCCUCCACAAGAGCAAACAAAGUCAACGAAGAUCCUCCAUCGUCCGAUACAUAGACUGAAAUCUUAUCGGACGGAUACUCAUAAGCCAUGACUGAUAAGGCGGUGUUGACCACCAUCAUCGGAGGCUCCUUGUACGGAUCAGCCGUGCAUAUAAACACGUCCAGCUUUGGAAAGUCCUCCGGUUUAGCUGCAUAUUUCUCAGGGUACUCGGUCCGAUGAACCGGGUUUAACCGGAGGGAAGUUGUGGUUGCCCACAUGAAGGCGAGAACAAUAUCGGAGAGGAGGAGAAGACAUGUUAUUAGAGUGUUGUUUGCUGUGAGAAGUGAGUGUACAUGGUGAUACAUGAGAGCUAUGAUGCCACACGUGUGGAUUACGGCGUAGAUUCUGUAUGGAAUGGCGCGCCGGCAGGGAUGACACGUGUGGAGGGUUGUGCCGCCGACCGAGUGUUUUCUGUGACGCUCCAUAUAUCGUGUUACUCUUUAUUUUUAAUAGAAGACAAAAUGUUUUGGAGAAACUUGCAGGUACAUAGAACAAAACUCACCACUAAAAUAUAUUUAUAGGCGAUCGAGUUCUUUUUUAGAGUAGACCUUUUACACCUCGAUUUAGGAUUUUAAAAGUAUGCAAAUUACUAAAUAGUACUAUAAGUUUAUAAAAUAAGUAAUCACAUAUAUGCAAUUUAAAUAAUAUGUAUAAUUCCUCACUAGAAUAUACGUAAAAUUUAAUAAGUUUAAUUAUUUUAAAAAUAUGUUACGCUGAUAGAUUAAUAUUUAAUAGUAUCAUAUUAAAAUAAUAUAUAACAAGUUAUUUGUUAUAUCUUUAAGAAAAAAAACAAGUUGUUUAUUAGUAAAAUGAUGAUCAUCAAUUUUAGUAUAGUAUUUUCCAGUAUACAUACAUACAUUGAUACAUACAUAUAAAUUCUUGAUAUAAAUAUGUAUAAGUUGGUAUUUGGUGAGCUUUUAAUGGUAAAAUUAAAUUUAAACUUCUCUAUAUUGGGAAAGAAAAAAAACCAAAAAGAAGAGAAUAAUAUCAUGGGGAUGAAGAUAGGGAUUGUGAGAGCCACUGCCUUCACAAAUCUCGGCAAUAAGUAACGUAUGUCAUCACUCCAUUAUAUAACACCUAACUCCAAACGGUAUCCGUAUACUUAGGUGUAUUAAUAUGGUACAUAUAUAGAUAUUGGACCGUCACAAAAUAUAUAUAUAUAUAUAUGGAGUAUAUAUAUAUUGGACCACGCAACUAAAUAAAUAUGCACGAUUAUGUGUUUUUAUGUUUUUCCCAAAUAAUACACUAAAUAAAAUUAUAUUGAACUUAUAUGUUAGAUAAUCAUAUCUAAUCUUUCAUAUGGGAUUUAGAAUGAUAUUUUAACAUUUUUCCACAAGUUAAAGACAGUUGUCAUAAUCAAAGAAAUACUAUGUAUUAUAAGACAUACUUCACUAUUCAUAAUCUCACCAGAUUAGCAUGCGUCAAACUAUGUGGACAUAUUUUUGUUGUUUUGAAGCGAGAAUGGUUUGUACACGACUAAUUGGACUAAUACAAGUAGUUUGCAUAUAACCGAGUUCCAUUUAAGUUACAAUGCAACAUUGCAGAAACGACGACAUUCAGAUAAUUUUAGGUGACGUUUUUGUAACACAAAUUUUUAAUGGACGGAUGGAAAACCCAUUUAAGUGAGUGACUAUAUAUAAAUGUCCUAAGUCUCAAAAAGUGUAGCCGUAAUUUCUCAUAAUGAAGUUGGAAACUAAGAGAAGUACCAAAACAAGACAACAGACCAACAAUGAAAAUGGUGGUUGUUCUCCAUUCAAUCUAAGCUCUCUCAAACAUGCGAUCGAGGCCAGAGAUGCUGCGAAGGAUAGUUCAAUCAAUCUAUCGUCGCUCUGAUAACCCAAAUGAUAUUUUCUUUUUUAUUUUGUGUUGCAAAAAUUUGAUAUAUAUUUUAAUGCAUGUGAGUGAUGUAAGGGUAUAAUACACUAAUGAACAUAAGCGUGUCCAGAGGUAGUAUUGAAAAUGUGGUCCAUACAAUUAUGUUUGUGAACAUGGUGGCAAGAACGGCCAUAUACAUGACCUCGUCUGACAAAACAAAGUUUACCAUGAAUUGUUGGUAAGGUUAGAUCUAGAGUCUGAGUUUUAGUUAUUUCAUGUUUGAAAUAAUGGAUAAUAUAUGUAUUAUCUCAAAAAAUACAUAUAUUAUCCAUUAUUGCAAACAGUAAUAUAGGGAGAACAGAAUAGUACCAUACAGUUUAAGAUUACAACCAAAAUCGGUGCAUUCGUCAUGACUCCAGACACUCGUAGCUAUAAUAAAAACAAAACACGUUAUCUUUAAACUACUGAAAUGCUAAUUAAUCGAAAUAAAAAUCGUUUAAGGUAUUAGGUUUAGUUGAUACCAAAGUAUUAAGAGCACCGGCUUUGAAAUGAUGUGGUGAAACUUUACUCUUCUCUCUUGAAACAUAGAUUAGGUUUGGCAUUAUAUACUUUUUGGUAUUGUCCAUAUCUGUCUCACUAUUUUGCAACACCUAUCGUCAAAUUAAUUAGAAUUGAGAUUUAAUUAUAUAAAGAUAUUAGAAUCACAUGUUGCAAACUAUUGUUCUUAAGAAUUUUUUUUUUUUUUUAAAUAGUAUAUGGACCCUGACAAUGCAAAUUCUUAGAAGUAC
rnacentral:lncRNA from 1 species